GGGGGAUGGUUUGGGUGGAGUCUAUUGUGGUAUGUCAGGUAAGAGUAGUUUCAUCAAAGUAUCAAUCAAAUCUAAUCAUAAAUAAAGAAGUUAUGGCAAUUUUAGCAAAAUUUAAUAAUUUGACCUUGAGAGUCAAGGUCAUUCAAAGGUCAAGGUAAAAUUCAACUUGCCAGGUACAGUAACCUCAUGAUAGCAUGAAAGUAUUUGAAGUUUGAAAGCAAUAGCCUUGAUACUUUAGAAGUAAAGUGGAUAGAAACACAAAAUUUAACCAUAUAUUCAAAGUUACUAAGUCAAAAAGGGCCAUAAUUCCGUAAAAAUGACAACCAGAGUUAUGCAACUUGUUCUUUUACUGUACCCUUAUGAUAGUUUGCGAGUGUUCCAAGUAUGAAAGCAAUAUCUAUGAUACUUUAGGGGUAAAGUGGACCAAAACACAAAACUUAACCAAAUUUUCAAUUUUCUAAGUAUAAAGGGCCCCUAAUUCCGUCCAAAUGCCAGUCAGAGUUACAUAACUUUGCCUGCACAGUCCCCUUAUGAUAGUUAAUAAGUGUUGCAAGUAUGAAAGCAAUAGCUUUGAUACUGUAGGAAUAAAGUGGACCUAAACACAAAACUUAACCAAAUUUUCAAUUUUAUAA